CCUACGGGAGGCUGCAGUGGGGAAUAUUGCGCAAUGGGCGAAAGCCUGACGCAGCGACGCCGCGUGAGGGAUGAAGGUCUUCGGAUUGUAAACCUCUGUUAGCAGGGAAGAACGGUCACUGUGCUAAUCAGCAGUGAAUUGACGGUACCUGCAAAGGAAGCACCGGCUAACUCCGUGCCAGCAGCCGCGGUAAUACGGAGGGUGCGAGCGUUAAUCGGAAUUACUGGGCGGAAAGCGCUCGUAGGCGGUAUGUCAAGUCAAGGGUGAAAUCCCCGCGCUCAACGUGGGAACUGCCUUUGAAACUGGCAAACUUGAGUGUGUUAGAGGUUAGUGGAAUUCCAGGUGUAGCGGUGAAAUCCGUAGAUAUCUGGAAGAACAUCAGUGGCGAAGGCGGCUAUCUGGCACAUAACUGACGCUGAGGAGCGAAAGCGUGGGUAGCAAACAGGAUUAGAUACCCUUGUAGUC
rnacentral:rRNA from 1 species